UACGAAGGGGGCUAGCGUUGUUCGGAAUCACUGGGCGUAAAGCGCACGUAGGCGGAUUUUUAAGUCAGGGGUGAAAUCCCGGGGCUCAACCUCGGAACUGCCUUUGAUACUGGAGAUCUUGAGUCCGGAAGAGGUAAGUGGAACUGCGAGUGUAGAGGUGAAAUUCGUAGAUAUUCGCAAGAACACCAGUGGCGAAGGCGGCUUACUGGUCCGGAACUGACGCUGAGGUGCGAAAGCGUGGGGAGCAAACGGG
rnacentral:rRNA from 1 species